UGGUUCUGGCAUCGAUGAAGAACGCAGCGAAAUGCGAUAAGUAAUGUGAAUUGCAGAAUUCAACGAAUCAUCGAAUUUUUGAACGCAUAUUGCGCCCAUUGGUAUUCCGAUGGGCAUGCCUGUUCGAGCGUCAUUUCACCCCUCAAGAAAUUCUUCUUGGUGUUGGAGCUCUCUAUAGCAUUUACUGUUGUAGGCUCUGAAAGAAAUUGGCGGGAUUUUAGUAGCCCAAACGUAGUAGAAUACUUUUUCGUUUAGGUAGUUGCUAAGAUUUUCAGCCGUAAAAGCCCACUGUUUUUACAAUGUUGACCUCGGAUCAGGUAGGAAUACCCGCUGA
rnacentral:misc_RNA from 1 species